rnacentral:rRNA from 1 species
GACGAACGCUGGCGGCGUGCUUAACACAUGCAAGUCGAGCGGUAAGGCUCCUUCGGGAGUACACGCGCGGCGAACGGGUGAGUAACACGUGCGUAAUCUGCCCUUCACUUCGGGCUAACCACCGGAAACGGAGGCUAAUACCGAACACGGCCAAUCUUCGCAUGAGGUGCUGGUGGAAAGUCUUUUCGGUGUGGGAUGUGCUCGCGGCCUAUCAGCUUGUUGGUGGGGUAAUGGCCUACCAAGGCUUCGACGGGUAGCCGGCCUGAGAGGGUGACCGGCCACACUGGGACUGAGACGCGGCCCAGACUCCUACGGGAGGCAGCAGUGGGGAAUGUUGGACAAUGGGCGAAAGCCUGAUCCAGCAACGCCGCGGGCGGGAUGACGGCCAUCGGGUUGUAAACCUCUUUCAGUACCGACGAAGCGCCCUGUCGGGUGGUGACGGUAGGUACAGAAGAAGGACCGGCCAACUACGUG